rnacentral:rRNA from 1 species
GACGUAGGAUGCGAGCGUUAUUCGGAUUUAUUGGGCGUAAAGAGCGUGUAGGCGGCUUGGUAGGUCCGCUGUGAAAACUCGAGGCUCAACCUCGAGAUGUCGGCGGAAACCACUUGGCUAGAGUCCGGAAGAGGAGAGUGGAAUUCCUGGUGUAGCGGUGAAAUGCGCAGAUAUCAGGAAGAACACCUAUGGCGAAGGCAGCUCUCUGGGACGGUACUGACGCUGAGACGCGAAAGCGUGGGGAGCGAACAGG